rnacentral:lncRNA from 1 species
UGGCAUGUAUAGGAAGUUGGUUUGUGAUAUGUAUUUUUAUUAUGAUUUUGACUAUACGUAUCAGUCUGCAUUGAGUUAUCGUAUAUGAUCAUGAGAUGUGGUCCUUAUCCAUUAUGGUUUAUAAGUUUAAUCAAUCGUGUCAUGUCCUAUGUUUUGAUGUAAUGAUAUAGUUAGCUUUGUUUGUUAUGCAUGUGUUCGAAAAGUUUUGAAUUAAAUGAAAUUUUAUGGCCCAAUUUUCCUCUAUGUGUAU